rnacentral:tRNA from 1 species
UCCAUUGUGGUUAAGAUGGUAAAAGCAUCUGUCUGCAAUGCAGGAGACCUGGGUUCGAUCCCUGGGUUGGGA